ensembl:lncRNA
UGAGAUGUGAUCUGUGUAAAUUCCAGGCAUGACUAUGGCAAAUGUUUAUUUGUCCACACCUUGUUCACAGUGGCCAUCAAAGGAUCAGAAAGAUUUCACAUGAGCCCUGACUCGCAGCAGCUCAAGGCCUGAUCUCACCUCCAUGGUGGUCACGCUUCCAGCAUCUUGGCUCAAAUCUUGGGGCAUCCUAGUCUCCCACGCGCUCUCCUGACCGCACACAACCUGGUUAGGCGGAUCGACAGGGAAGGUCGGUGAGCCUGGGGCGCCUAGAUCGUGAGGUCACGAGGACUGCUCUCGGCUCGCCGCUCGGAAGUGGCGGCGCAGAACUAGAAGGGGCGCGGGGCGGGGGACGCUGGGCGGGCCCACGGCUCCCACUGCGGCUGUCACGGCCGCUCGGCUUCCCCUGAAGAUGCAGCGCAGCAUAUUUUGCCCAUGAGUUCAGAGGAAGAGGAAGUGUAGCCAGCG